rnacentral:tRNA from 1 species
GCCCGAGACGGCUGAAGGGGCUCGCCUGCUAAGCGAGUGUAGGGCCAAAAAGCUCUACCCCGGGUUCGAAUCCCGGUCUCUCCGCCA